rnacentral:rRNA from 1 species
GACGAACGCUGGCGGCGUGCUUAACACAUGCCAGUCGAACGGAAAGGCCCUGCUUUUGUGGGGUGCUCGAGUGGCGAACGGGUGAGUAACACGUGAGUAACCUGCCCUUGACUUUGGGAUAACUUCAGGAAACUGGGGCUAAUACCGGAUAGGAGCUCCUGCUGCAUGGUGGGGGUUGGAAAGUUUCGGCGGUUGGGGAUGGACCCGCGGCUUAUCAGCUUGUUGGUGGGGUAGUGGCUUACCAAGGCUUUGACGGGUAGCCGGCCUGAGAGGGUGACCGGCCACAUUGGGACUGAGAUACGGCCCAGACUCCUACGGGAGGCAGCAGUGGGGAAUAUUGCACAAUGGGCGGAAGCCUGAUGCAGCAACGCCGCGUGCGGGAUGACGGCCUUCGGGUUGUAAACCGCUUUCGCCUGUGACGAAGCGUGAGUGACGGUAAUGGGUAAAGAAGCACCAGCUAACUACGU